rnacentral:rRNA from 1 species
UACGGGAGGCAGCAGUGGGGAAUAUUGCACAAUGGGCGCAAGCCUGAUGCAGCCAUGCCGCGUGUAUGAAGAAGGCCUUCGGGUUGUAAAGUACUUUCAGUCGUGAGGAAGGUGUUAAGGUUAAUAACCUUAGCAAUUGACGUUAGCGACAGAAGAAGCACCGGCUAACUCCGUGCCAGCAGCCGCGGUAAUACGGAGGGUGCGAGCGUUAAUCGGAAUUACUGGGCGUAAAGGGCACGCAGGCGGUUAAUUAAGUUGGAUGUGAAAUCCCCGGGCUUAACCUGGGAAUGGCAUUCAAGACUGGUUAGCUAGAGUCUUGUAGAGGGGGUAGAAUUCCAUGUGUAGCGGUGAAAUGCGUAGAGAUGUGGAGGAAUACCGGUGGCGAAGGCGGCCCCUGGACAAAGACUGACGCUCAUGUGCGAAAGCGUGGGGAGCAAACAGGGAUUUAGAUACCCU